rnacentral:rRNA from 1 species
AUGCUACAGUUCCUUGAUGUCAUGGCCGAGCUGUAUUCGAAAUCUUACUGUUUCGUCAAUUUUAUGCGUGACAAUAUGGUACAAUCGAAUAAUAUCGAGGUCUAUGGCGUGAUCGCAGUAAGGGAUCACCUGGAUUUCUCACGCAACUACAUUUUCCAUUGCUCUAGAGAGAAUGCACAAGCAAUUGACCCAAAAGGUGGCUAUUUAUGCCUGAAGAAUCCUGCAAGAGGAAUACUCGCAACAUGCUGCUUGAUCGAAAUUGAUAUAAAGGCGAAGGCCAAGGUGGUUGAUGAAGACUUGAGUAUUGUCUCCGGUUGCCUGAAAGCAUGUGAACAGUUUGACCCGUGGAGACUGCACCAUGUCGAUGAUAUCAACGGCAAGAUUACACUGGAAUCCUAUUUGCUAUUUUAG